rnacentral:misc_RNA from 1 species
GAUGAAGAACGCAGCGAAAUGCGAUAAGUAAUGUGAAUUGCAGAAUUCAGUGAAUCAUCGAAUCUUUGAACGCACAUUGCGCCCGCUGGUAUUCCGGCGGGCAUGCCUGUUCGAGCGUCAUUUCAACCCUCAAGCUCUCCGGAGUUUGGUGUUGGGGCGCCUGGGGCUUUUCGACCUCAGGGCCCUCAAGUCCAUCGGCGGGACCGCCAGGACACUGAGCGCAGUAGUAUUAUUUCGCUCGGUAGGAUCUUCCACGGCGGGUCGAUCUGGCCGCUAAACCCCCCAAUUCUCACCAAAGGUUGACCUCGGAUCAGGUAGGAAUACCCGCUGAACUUAAGCAUAUCAAUAAACGGAGGA